GGCACCAUAGCCAAGAGGUAAGGCCACGGUCUGCAAAAUCGUUAUCACCAGUUCGAUUCUGGUUGGUGCCUCCA
rnacentral:tRNA from 2 species